rnacentral:rRNA from 1 species
UGGACAAUGGGCGCAAGCCUGAUCCAGCCAUACCGCGUGGGUGAAGAAGGCUUCGGGUUGUAAAGCCCUUUUGUUGGGAAAGAAAUCCAGCCGGCUAAUACCUGGUUGGGAUGACGGUACCCAAAGAAUAAGCACCGGCUAACUUCGUGCCAGCAGCCGCGGUAAUACGAAGGGUGCAAGCGUUACUCGGAAUUACUGGGCGUAAAGCGUGCGUAGGUGGUCGUUUAAGUCCGUUGUGAAAGCCCUGGGCUCAACCUGGGAACUGCAGUGGAUACUGGGCGACUAGAGUGUGGUAGAGGGUAGCGGAAUUCCUGGUGUAGCAGUGAAAUGCGUAGAGAUCAGGAGGAACAUCCAUGGCGAAGGCAGCUACCUGGACCAAYACUGACACUGAGGCACGAAAGNKUGGGGAGCAAACAGGAUUAGAUACCCUGGUAGUCCACGCYCUAAACGAUGCGAACUGGAUGUUGGGUGCAAUUUGGVACGCAGUAU